UCUUCCUUGGUCUAGUGGCUAUGAUUUCCGCUUGUCAAUUCCGCGUCACUGUGGAAUCGCAAGCGCGGGAGACCGGGGUUCGAUUCCCCGAGGGAGAG
rfam:Xylona heveae TC161 unplaced genomic scaffold L228scaffold_3, whole genome shotgun sequence.